rnacentral:tRNA from 1 species
GGGCCAUGACUCAGUGGUAGAGGAUUGACUUGGCAUGCAGAAGGUCUCGGGUUCGAUCCCUGGCAUGCCCA